rnacentral:lncRNA from 1 species
GUCCAGAGUGAGUAUAAUGAUCUGUUGCAGUGGAUCCCAGCGUGUGGUGGGUCGGGGUGGGGCCGGCAGAGUUUGGACAGGAGUGCAGAGCUGUUUUGCCAGUUUCUGCUAAAGCCCUGUGGAUGAAGAGCCUGCUAACUCCAAAGAGAUGGACCCCAGUCCUACUCUUAGAGUCCCCACUGCAGAGGUCCAGGUGAAACCAGAGCUUCUGCCUGCAUGGAACAAGAGCAAGAGAAAGAGUUCACUGAAGGACAGCCUUGCAGAACAUGGGGAGAAUCAUCAGGCAGGUGACUCCAGGCCUGUGCACACAGGAGGCCGAGGAGACUGACCUGCUUAUCCAUGCUACUUAUCAGGAACUGUGGAACCAUGGAGAACAUGACCCUGGCCCUCCCUUCAGGAUCUGCCUGAGAUCUGGCUGCCUCUUGAGACACUAGAGCCCUGGAUUCAAUUGCGGAACAUUAUGUUGGAGAAUAUAAACACUUCUAGACUGUGCCGGCAUUUGGGAAGGAAUAGUCUGUUUUGACUUGAAUGAACAAAGACAUACGUCUCUGGGCCUGGGGAAGGCUUACCAGCUCAGCUCAUCUACUGUCUGGUGGCAAACAUGUCCUGGGUACUGCCACUACCCAGGACACUCUUCCUCACUCUGUCCCUGUCCAGUUACCGCACCCUUCCCUGUCUGACCCCGCCUCCUGUGCCCACUCGCCUCUGGACCCAGAGAUUCUUCUUGUUUGCUCUAUCAUCCUUGAGCCGGAUACAGGGUGAAUAGUUAACCACACUUGGGUUGAAUGGGAUCUUGAUUCUUAUUUCUGUUCCUUGGAAAGAGGGGUCAGACUCGGUGCGUGGCACCCGGCCUGGAAGCAGCACAAGACUCCAGAGUGAUACAUGAUCUGCCUGGAUGGUCCCAGGGGCUCUUUGGAGGUCAGAGCAAGAGGAGCAGCCUGAGCAGGGGGGCUGAGGAGGGCCGGCACUGGAUCACACGCAGGCGUAUGUCUGGAUAGGCAGAGAGGAACCCACUUUUCAUUCCCUCUUCUGUGACACAAAUGCAAGGAACUUUGAAGACACUCUUCGGAGGUUGCAAUCGGAGAUCAGCUUAUCCAAGGGCUUCAUGUCUGAGCUCUGUUGGUCGUGCCUCCUGAGGACCUCUUUCCUCUACUGUAUGCUGAUGACACACCCAUCCGAUGGGAGCUGGAGCCUUGUCUGGUCCUUUCCUCUAUGACCCCACGUGUACAGUUGGAAAUCCUUCCUAAUCAUGCCUUGAUUCCCCCUUUUCGACUACACUCAAAGAUGUUUGAGCUGUUUUAUUUGCAAAAUGGAUGGACAGUUUGUUUAUAUAAAACAAUCCCAGCUUCCUUGUGCUCUAUCUGGUGUGUUUGUAUGGCUCUUCAGUGACUUUAAAGUGGAGCAUUGACCUUGGCCUCUUUGAUUCUCCAUGGUGGAAUAGAGAAGACCUCUUGAGGAUGCUUAAUGUUGCUGAGAUCUUAAGAAGGCUUGCAGACUUCCUCUUCCUCCCUCCUUCUCCCACCUCCUCCUUCCCUAAGCAGCCUCUGCAUUGUAUAAAUUCCUUUAUAUAAA